GAUGAAGACGUAGCGAAAUGCGAUAAGUAAUGUGAAUUGCAGAAUUCAGUGAAUCAUCGAAUCUUUGAACGCACAUUGCGCCCCCUGGUAUUCCGGGGGGCAUGCCUGUUCGAGCGUCAUUUCACCACUCAAGCCUCGCUUGGUAUUGGGCAACGCGGUCCGCCGCGUGCCUCAAAUCGACCGGCUGGGUCUUCUGUCCCCUAAGCGUUGUGGAAACUUUCGCUAAAGGGUGUUCGGGAGGCUACGCCGUAAAACAACCCCAUUUCUAAGGUUGACCUCGGAUCAGGUAGGGAUACCCGCUGAACUUAAGCAUAUCAAUAAGCGGAGGA
rnacentral:misc_RNA from 1 species